AUUGAACGCUGGCGGCAGGCUUAACACAUGCAAGUCGAGCGGAGUGAUGGUGCUUGCACUAUCACUUAGCGGCGGACGGGUGAGUAAUGCUUAGGAAUCUGCCUAUUAGUGGGGGACAACAUCUCGACAGGGAUGCUAAUACCGCAUACGUCCUACGGGAGAAAGCAGGGGAUCUUUAUGACCUUGCGCUAAUAGAUGAGCCUAAGUCGGAUUAGCUAGUUGGUGGGGUAAAGGCCUACCAAGGCGACGAUCUGUAGCGGGUCUGAGAGGAUGAUCCGCCACACUGGGACUGAGACACGGCCCAGACUCCUACGGGAGGCAGCAGUGGGGAAUAUUGGACAAUGGGGGGAACCCUGAUCCAGCCAUGCCGCGUGUGUGAAGAAGGCCUUAUGGUUGUAAAGCACUUUAAGCGAGGAGGAGGCUUACCUAGUUAAUACCUGGGAUAAGUGGACGUUACUCGCAGAAUAAGCACCGGCUAACUCUGUGCCAGCCGCCGCAGUAA
rnacentral:rRNA from 1 species